UAGGUUACGUCAAGACUCAGGGGUAUUAACCCUUAAGCUUUUCUUCUCUACUGAAAGUGCUUUACAACCCGCAGGCCUUCUUCACACACGCGGCAUUGCUGGAUCAGGGUUGCCCCCAUUGUCCAAUAUUCCC
rnacentral:rRNA from 1 species